UACGUAGGGGGCAAGCGUUGUCCGGAUUUAUUGGGCGUAAAGAGCUCGUAGGCGGUUCGUCGCGUCGGCUGUGAAAUCCCGAGGCUCAACCUCGGGUCUGCAGUCGAUACGGGCGGACUGGAGUUCGGCAGGGGAGACUGGAAUUCCUGGUGUAGCGGUGGAAAUGCGCAGAGUAUCAGGAGGAACACCGGUGGCGAAGGCGGGUCUCUGGGCCGAUACUGACGCUGAGGAGCGAAAGCCGUGGGGAGCGAACAGG
rnacentral:rRNA from 1 species